rnacentral:rRNA from 1 species
GAGUGGCAGACGGGUGAGUAACGCGUGGGAACCUUCCCUGUGGUACGGAAUAACUUCGGGAAACCGAAGCUAAUACCGUAUAUCUCGGGAGAAAGAUUUAUCGCCAUAGGAUGGGCCCGCGUUGGAUUAGCUAGUUGGUAGGGUAAUGGCCUACCAAGGCAACGAUCCAUAGCUGGUCUGAGAGGAUGAUCAGCCACACUGGGACUGAGACACGGCCCAGACUCCUACGGGAGGCAGCAGUGGGGAAUAUUGGACAAUGGGCGAAAGCCUGAUCCAGCCAUGCCGCGUGAGUGAAGAAGGCCUUAGGGUUGUAAAGCUCUUUUGGCGGGGACGAUAAUGACGGUACCCGCAGAAUAAGCCCCGGCUAACUUCGUGCCAGCAGCCGCGGUAAUACGAAGGGGGCUAGCGUUGUUCGGAAUCACUGGGCGUAAAGCGCACGCAGGCGGACUGAUAAGUCAGGGGUGAAAUCCCGGGGCUCAACCUCGGAAUUGCCUUUGAUGCUGUCUGUCUUGAGUUCGGGAGAGGUUGGCGGAAUUCCUAGUGUAGAGGUGAAAUUCGUAGAUAUUAGGAAGAACACCAGUGGCGAAGGCGGCCAACUGGCCCGAAAC